rnacentral:rRNA from 1 species
AAUUUGUGGAGAGCACAGGCGCGGAACGGAAAGCCGCGUGCAAGCGAAGGAGGAGUCACAUAGGAAAAACCGUGUGGCAAUCCAGAGGCGUGAUGCGGACCGAACUAAAGUAGGGAAGUGUGUGAGCCAUGAAUCAAGAAAAGCCGCUAUUGUUUUUAAGAUACCCGUACCGUAAACCGACACAGGUGGAUGAGGAGAGAAUCCUAAGGCCGGCGGAAGAAGCAUUGUUAAGGAACUCGGCAAAAUGACCCCGUAACUUCGGGAGAAGGGGUGCCAACGAGAGUUGGCCGCAGAGAAUAGGCUCAAGCAACUGUUUAGCAAAAACACAGGUCUAUGCAAAACCGUAAGGUGAGGUAUAUGGGCUGACGCCUGCCCGGUGCUGGAAGGUUAAGAGGAGAGGUUAGCGCAAGCGAAGCUUUGAAUUUAAGCCCCAGUAAACGGCGGCCGUAACGAUAACGGUCCUAAGGUAGCGAAAUUCCUUGUCGGGUAAGUUCCGACCCGCACGAAAGGCGUAAUGAUUUGAGCGCUGUCUCGACAAUGCAUCCGGUGAAAUUGAAGUACCUGUGAAGAUGCUGGUUACCCGCGCCAGGACGGAAAGACCCCAUGGAGCUUUACUCCAGUUUGGUACUGGGGUCCGGCAGUGCAUGUACAGGAUAGGUGGGAGGCUGUGAACCUGGAACGCCAGUUUCAGGGGAGCCAUUGUUGGGAUACCACCCUUGUGCUGCUGGGCUUCUAACCAGCGGCCUUUAUCAGGCCGGGGGACAAUGCCAGACGGGGAGUUUGACUGGGGCGGUCGCCUCCGAAAGGGUAUCGGAGGCGCUCAAAGGUUCCCUCAGAAUGGUCGGAAACCAUUCGAAGAGUGCAAAGGCAGAAGGGAGCUUGACUGCGACACCGACGGGUGGAGCAGGUACGAAAGUAGGACUUAGUGAUCCGGUGGUAUUAAGUGGGAAUGCCAUCGCUCAACGGAUAAAAGCUACCCUGGGAUAACAGGCUUAUCACUCCCAAGAGUUCACAUCGACGGAGUGGUUUGGCACCUCGAUGUCGGCUCAUCGCAUCCUGGGGCUGUAGUAGGUCCCAAGGGUUGGGCUGUUCGCCCAUUAAAGCGGUACGCGAGCUGGGUUCAGAACGUCGUGAGACAGUUCGGUCCCUAUCCGGCGUGGGCGUAGGAUAUUUGAGAGGAGCUGUCCUUAGUACGAGAGGACCGGGAUGGGCUGACCUCUGGUGUACCGGUUGAACCGCCAGGUUCACGGCCGGGUAGCCAAGUCGGGAAGGGAUAAACGCUGAAGGCAUCUAAGCGUGAAGCCCCCCUCAAGAUGAGAUAUCUCAUUCUUAAAGAAGUAAGACCCCUUGAAGACGACGAGGUAGAUAGGGCAGAGGUGGAAGUGCCGUAAGGCAUGGAGCUGACUGUUACUAAUCGGUCGAGGGCUUGAC